UCUUUCUUGCAGAUCUUCGAUGAGUCCAGGAUUUCAUUUAAAGUUAUAAUUUACUUUAACAAAUAACUACAACAACCAGAGCUAUAGCCCUCCAGACAAAAAGGACUCGUUGCUACUAUCCUACUCUCUACACAUCCUUUUAAACAACAUGAAAUUUAUUUUCCUCUACAUUUAAAAAGAACGAGUGAGUAUAAAAAAUCAAUUUUCACAUUUUCAUGAGAUUUAUAUACAAAAAAAGCUACAGAAAAUAUAUAAAAAUUGUUUCAACAAAAAAAAAAAAAAAAUCAUACAACAAAACAAUCAACAAACAAAUACACAAGUAAAUCAUGCGUUGUUAAAAGGAGUGAGUGUGUGUGUUUGUAGGUAUUUUUUUAUAUAAAGGACUAUGAAUCUGUUGUUAAAACCAACCAUAAUUUAUAGAAAAAUAGCUUGUUUAACAUGUUACAUAAAACCAAAAUAAAAUAUAAAAUAAAACCUAUUGAAAUCACAAUUCUCUCUCUUACUUACACAAACAAAUAAAUCCUUUUUCCUAGCAACUGUUCGCAUGUGUGUGCGUGUGUGUUCAUCUAUGUUAAUGGAAAAAAAUGUAGGGAACCAGGAUUCAUUUAUACGCAUAAAUCACUAGUUAAAUAUUAAAAAAAAUAUAUACGUAAGGAACCUACAAUCGUGUUUGAGAUUUACCCAAAAAAAAAAAGUAAAAGAAAAAUACAAUAUAAUAAUACACGAACAUAAAAAUCUCUAUAACGUUUUAGGACUAUCAUUUCCCAGUGUCAUCAUUCUUGUUGUAUAAGUACCAACAAUAAAACAAGCUUAAAUAUACACACAUACAAUUCUACAAAUAUACAUUUACCCAAAAAUAUAUAAACACUUACAUAUUUAUCAAAACAUACUUACAGUUACAGGGAUUGAGAAAAAUUAAGGGGAAAUACUUCCUUACAAAGGAGCUGAAAAUUUAAGGAAAUUUUGUUGAACAAAAGCUCUGCUAAGUUUUAGUUUAAUUUAAAAUUAAGGCAAAAGUAGUCUAAUCGAAAAGGUAGAAAUUUAAUUAAAUUUAUUUCACGAAAGCUCUGCUAAGUUUUAAUUUAAACUUCAAACUAAACUCAACGCUUAAUAUUUGAUCUACUUUAAAACUUUUUAUAAAAAUUUUAUU